CCGGCGACCGGCGCACGGGUGAGUAACACGUAUGCAACCUGCCCUCCGCAGGGGGAUAACCCGGAGAAAUCCGGACUAAUACCGCGUGGUACACCAGUGGGGCAUCCCACGGGUGUUAAAAGGAAGCGAUUCCGGCGGAGGAUGGGCAUGCGGCGCAUUAGCUAGUUGGCGGGGUAACGGCCCACCAAGGCGACGAUGCGUAGGGGUUCUGAGAGGAAGGUCCCCCACACUGGUACUGAGACACGGACCAGACUCCUACGGGAGGCAGCAG
rnacentral:rRNA from 1 species